UACGAAGGGGGCUAGCGUUGCUCGGAAUUAUUGGGCGUAAAGAGCUCGUAGGCGGUCUGUCGCGUCGGCUGUGAAAUCCCGAGGCUCAACCUCGGGUCUGCAGUCGAUACGGGCAAACUGGAGUACUGCAGGGGAGACUGGAAUUCCUGGUGUAGCGGUGAAAUGCGCAGAUAUCAGGAGGAACACCGGUGGCGAAGGCGGGUCUCUGGGCAGUAACUGACGCUGAGGAGCGAAAGCGUGGGGAGCGAACAGG
rnacentral:rRNA from 1 species